ACCUAGAUGCAUGGCUACCUGAACAUGCCCUGUCUCGUCUGAUCUCGGAAGCUAAGCAGGGUCAGGCCUGGUUAGUACUUGGAUGGGAGACCACCUAGGAAGAGCAGGUGCUGUAGGUG
rnacentral:rRNA from 1 species